ACAGAGCUUGCUUCUCUUUCCACUCCUCCUACAGUGAGAUUAAAGAUUUUUUGAGCUACAUCUGCCCAGUGAAUGCGUAUCCAAAUGUCAUUCCGAUCGGCCUCACUGUGGAUAAGGUCAUGGACUUGUGAGUAGUUUCUGGACUGGGGGCUUGUGUUGCUGGUGGUGGUGUUGGCUGGGAGGCACGGAAGUGUUCUGUCUGUCUGAAAAGUUGUGACCCGGGAACCCAUCCCUCUGAUGGUAACAUUUGAGUUUCCCUUUAUUUCCAGGUCUUCCUAUCAUUUUUAGUGGGGAGAAUGUAUGGGUAAUUAAUGUCAGUUUGUCCUAGGUGGAACCCUGUCCACCAAUUACUUGCAAUGUGAAUUUGCCACAUCACAUCAGAACCAGUCAGAUCUAACAAGCAAAUCAAUGAAUC
rnacentral:lncRNA from 1 species